UUCCAGCUCUAAAAGCGUAUUCUAAAGUUGUUGCAGUUAAAAAGCUCGUAGUCGAAAACAGCUCAGCCUUAAGGGUUGAGACGGAGGCGGAUUGAGGAAAGGAGAGUGCUAAAGGGUAAAGUGGGAGAGCUUGGGACGCCUCGAGGGAUAAAACCCUUGUGAGAAGAGAAAGCAAUGGAGGAUAUGGGUAUUUCAUGGACAGAGGUGAAAUUCUAUGACCCAUGAAAGACGAACGGGGGCGAAAGCGCUU
rnacentral:rRNA from 1 species